UGGGGAAUAUUGCGCAAUGGGCGGAAGCCUGACGCAGCGACGCCGCGUGGGGGAUGAAGGCCUUCGGGUUGUAAACCUCUUUCACCACCGACGAAGCUCUGUGUUUACUUCGGUAAUCUCAGUUUGACGGUAGGUGGGGAAGAAGCGCCGGCUAACUACGUGCCAGCAGCCGCGGUAAUACGUAGGGCGCAAGCGUUGUCCGGAAUUAUUGGGCGUAAAGAGCUCGUAGGUGGUUUGUCGCGUCUGCCGUGAAAACCCGAGGCUUAACCUCGUGGCUUGCGGUGGAUACGGGCAGACUAGAGGUAGGUAGGGGAGAAUGGAAUUCCCGGUGUAGCGGUGAAAUGCGCAGAUAUCGGGAGGAACACCGGUGGCGAAGGCGGUUCUCUGGGCCUUACCUGACGCUGAGGAGCGAAAGCGUGGGGAGCGAACAG
rnacentral:rRNA from 1 species